GCUAAAAACCAGCAACGUUUCGUUCAGUUUAAGUGAGGGCUUCUCAUGAUACGAUUUCUGAAUAAUUUACGUAUGUUUCAUAUUUAAAUAAAGCUGACUUCUCAUAUCUUUCAUCAUAGAAAUAACCAUAUUGGUUUAUUUCUCUUCCUCGGGCUCUGGAAUAUUUUAUCAUAUCCUCUGCAGGUGAGACCCGCUUUGCUAACUGAGUCAUAGUAAAUUCCCACCCUACCAAUAAUUAAUUUAUGGAAGUGUUGGAUUUGUAAGAUGAUCAAAAUUUAUAUUGGUAAGCAGCAUGUACGGGCAGGAGUUUUUAUACCACAAGUGUAUAUGCCUCUCAGAAGGUUCUCUUAGAGGUUCAUCUCAACAAUAUUCGUAGGCAUUUCAACAUAUGAAGUGAAA
rnacentral:lncRNA from 1 species